CUACAUUAAACUGUCGUUUGAGUCACAAAAAUGUACAUUGCAUGUUUAAGGGCUGUUUUUAAAGGAAUGUUAUUUGUAUUCACAAUUUGUUUGAAUUUGAGAACACACUUAACUAUUGUAUUCAAGACAUACCAUGACACAGAUCAAUAUUUUCUGUAUGCUAGUUGUUAUUCUUUCUAGGUUGUUUUGUACAUUCUUUCUGUCUCCUCUACCCUCGUAUGAUUCAAGAUAUGUGCAGAAUUUCACAGGCGUUGUCAAGUUCUGGCAUAAACUUGGACUUCAGUCGCACAUCAUCUGCUCCAGGCUGUCUGCUGAGUGCCAUAGGAAGGGAGGAAAAACAGGACAUAAGAUCAAGGAGAUCAUGGCUGCCAUUGAUUGGAAUCCUAUCAUUGGCUCGUUGAGAGUUUGCCACCUGAAAGCACUUGUUGUGUACUUGAAGACCCCGAUAAACUCAUAAAGGAAUACCUGAGCUGCCAGAUGGUGUCAUCACUGAAAGCAGUCAUAAACAACAUGGCAGAUUCAUCUAUUUCCUCCAGCC